UGAGGACACUCUUCAGACAAGACCACAUCACUUUAUAGAGCUCAAGCUAGUUAACAUAAUGUCUUUUGAUUUGUAGACCCAUUAAAAAGUUCUUUAUUCGUCUACAGAAGCAACAAUCGUGCCCUAAAGCUGUCAAGUCAGCACCUACUGUGCGCUGCAGGGCGCCGUGCAGCGAAGCCAUGAGAACCUCCGGUGAACCUGCGGCGAGGCUUGGUGGGGGGAUUCUUCUCUCCAAAGCAUGCCAGCCUGGGGUGCCUGGAGCUCGGGAUAAACACAGCCUAUGGGUACCCUGAGCUAGAUUUCUCCAGCAGUGUGGAAGAUUAUAACACAGGGGAAGAGAGGCUAACUACACAUAGAAAGGCGUAGAAUACUCUGAUUGCUGUGAAGAUGCUACAGAUAAUGUGAUCUUCAUCGUGACUGGGGUAUGUACUACAAGUCCCAGAAAGCAUCGCUCUCAAUUCUCGCUGCGCUGGCUUCGCUGCUGCAUUCAAGUACUCCUCGGAACUCCGGGUUUUGUAAAUCACAGCAGCUGCCUGCAAACUCAAGUGGUUGUGAUAUAUAAAAUAAUAACAACUCAGGUUGGACAUGUUGCUGAAU